rnacentral:lncRNA from 1 species
GGGCACCAGCACCUUGCUUUUGUCCUUGCUGCAAACGUUCCAGAGCAUCAUUUGCGCUUUUGUCUGGCCCUCUGAGCCCCAGUGAGAGUUUCCUGAGGUACCUCACCCUCCACAAGACAACGAGCUUGCCAUUGAUCUGCAACAAACGGCAGUUGUUGUCAUGGCCCAUUUAGAAGAUCUGGCUACACCCUGUAGAUGCCUCUGCCGUGUAGCUGUCCGACGUCUCAUAAGGUCAGAACUGUAGAAAUAAUGAGGAAGUGACACUUAUAUGCAAAGCUGAUUUGGAGAACCAUAAUAAAGAUGGAGGCUUCUGGAUUGUGAUUGAUGAGAAAGUGUAUGAUAUAAAGGACUUCCAGACACAGUCGUUAACAGGAAAUAGUAUUCUUGCUCAGUUUGCAGGGGAAAACCCAGUGGUAGCUUUGGAAGCUGCUUUCGAGUUUGAAGUCACCCGGGAAUCCAUGCACGCAUUUUGUGUUGGCCAAUAUUUGGAGCCUGACCAAGAAGUUGUCACCAUACCAGAUCCGGGAAGUCUCUCUUCACCUCUGAUAGACACAGAGAGGAAUCUGGGCCUGCUUCUCGGAUUACACACUUCCUAUUUAGCAAUGAGCACACCGCUGUCUCCUGUCGAGAUUGAAUGUGCCAAAUGGCUUCAGUCAUCCAUCUUCUCUGGAGGCUGCAGACCAGCCAGAUCCACUACAGCUACAACGAGGAGAAAGAUGAGGACCACUGCAGCUCCCAGUGGGCACACCUGCCAGCAAAUCGCGACUGCUCCCACAGAUGGGCCCUGGGGGACCAUUCUCAGGCAUUUCUGCAAGCCAUUGCAGACAAUAACAUUCAGGAUCACAACGUGAAGGGCUUUUUGUGUCAAAUAGAAAGGUACUGUAGGCAGUGCCAUUUGACCACACCGAUCAU